UUGUGCCGUGAUGUAUUUGUCAACACAUCACUCUGAAGAAAAGUAUGUGGUGACUUUCUGUGACUGAGCAUGA
rnacentral:snoRNA from 1 species